AGUUGAUUAUUUUUUUAAAUGAAAACAUAACAGUUACCGUUUAAUAAAAGCCCCCAGUGGUCCAGUGGAUUCCUUCUAACGCUGAAGAUAGACUACAGCAGUCAUGUGCCAUAUACCGGCACGUCACCAAAGCAGUUUGUAAACAAGCAGCAGCAGGAGGGCUGGAUCGGCACCAGAGAAAUCACCGCUGGAGGAGAAGAGAAGUAAUAGUAAAAGAUCUGAUUUUGGUUGCUGUCCUGCAUUUAUGGAUCGCUGAUCUGCGUUUAUCAGUGUCAGACUUGGAGCUGUGGUCAUUAAGAACGCCAUUAGGAUGAAUUAUCCUCUGAUAUGAUGAUAUUACACCUGGACUGAGGGGAGCAUUGUGGAUGUUAGGUUUUAGAUUGCCCACGCAUAGACCAUGGGGUCGUGUCUUCUAUUCAGAGAUUGCACACUCCAUUGAGACUCAUAUACGAUGACCUUCUUGUGGCUUCUAGGGGUGACCGUUUUUCACUAUGUCACUUUCCUGCAUUGCUGCUAAAUUAUGCAUUAUGUCAGAUUUUGUGUUUUGUAUGACUUUUGAACA